rnacentral:rRNA from 1 species
UACAGAGGGGGCAAGCGUUGUUCGGAAUUACCGGGCGUAAAGGGCGCGUAGGCGGCCUUCUAAGUCGAACGUGAAAUCCCCGGGCUCAACCCGGGAACUGCGUCCGAUACUGGAAGGCUUGAAUCCGGGAGAGGGAUGCGGAAUUCCAGGUGUAGCGGUGAAAUGCGUAGAUAUAGGAAGGAACACCAGUGGCGAAGGCGACCACCUGGACUGAUACUGACACUGAGGUGCGAAAGCGUGGGGAGCAAACAGG